UUCCCUCGUUUCUUUUCUUUUUCUUCCAUGUCAUUACGGAGAAGGGCACUGGAGGCUUACUGAAGAGCUUUGAGAAAUAGCAUAGAAGGCCCAGAGCAUUACUUGUUUCCAGAUGAUCAAGCUAAGGCUGUACCCUGGCUAUGAAUAGCCCAGCCUCCUGUGGUGUCCAAGCCUGGAGAGAUUCUGUCUCAUUCACUCCUGGUAGACUGGUUAACCCGGCCACAGGCUCCUUUUGCCUUCAGUAUGCUAUCUGGUAUGAAAAUAUAAUUCAAUAUGAAGAAAUGGCGGAAGGAGAGAGAAAAAGAAGAGAGGAGGGAUCAAC
rnacentral:lncRNA from 10 species